ensembl:lincRNA Hotair HOX transcript antisense RNA (non-protein coding)
AGCUGGCAGUGAGUGGAGCCAGAGGCAGAAAAGGAGAGAAAAGUUUCCUGCCGACUUCCCAGUCCACAGCCACAGCUUCCCGGGGGCUGCAGAAUUCACUCUCAAUAAAGAAAGGAGGCUUAAAAAAAAAGUCCUGUGUUUACAAGACCAGAAAUGCCAGCGCUAAGUCCUUCCAGAGAGAAAGGCUGAAAUGGAGGACCGACGCCUUCCUUAUAAGCUCAUCGGAACAGGAUAGAAAAGCAACUGUAAAGGCAGAGAGACUAAGAGCGGAAGGAAGGAAGUCAGAGCCAACGUAGACCAAAGGGAACCACCCAGAAAUGUAGGAAAAGGAGCCGGCAGAGGUCCCCAACAUCGGUAGAAGGACAGAAGACAUGCACGGAGAAAGGUUUAUGUUUUGUUUUGUUGUUUUUUAAAUUUCAACUUGGAGCUCAAUGAAGAAAAGGCAAAAUGUAGGCCAGUGGACCGGAGGACGGGAAGAGCUCACUGUGUGCGGGGGUCCAGAUGGAAGGAACUCCGGACAAACCGGGAGGAUAGGCACGGUCCUGAAGGCUGGGGGUGGCCCCUUGAAACCCUCUUCGCAGGCUGCCUGAGUUCUUUUGCUCUCCUUAUCAUCCCCAUCUUUAUGACGAGGCUUGUUAACAUGACCAGCGAUCUGACCACGCACAUCUAUCUCCACCGCACACACGCUCAGCCGAGCAGCGGCCGGUGUGUGUGUGGGGGGAACUGAGAGGCACUAAUUAAUUGAUUCCUUGGACUGUAAAAUAUGGCUGCAUCUACACACAUGGAACCUGUGGACUCAUAAACAAUAUGUCUGCAGAUGUGAGUGCACUGUCUCUUAAAGAAUUUUUCUAUAGUUAUGCGCCUAUUAGAAUUCAGGAUUUGAAAGACUCAAAUAAGAUUGCUUUUUCAUAAGCCUCAACACAGUACAAUGUCAGAAAAUUCUGCAAAAACUUGGGUUAUGGAAUAGGUUUUCUCUACUGUUACUGUAGACACAGAUUGGCUUCUGACUGCUAAGUGUUAGGAUCAAAAUCAAAGCCCAGCUGAGAAGGCCUGAAACCUCUGCUCUACCUGGGAGAAGGGGAAUGGGCCCAGGUUCAGGUCUUACUUCAUGAUGCUGCUUAGGCUCAAGAUUAUAAAAAAAAAAUUUUUAAUUUACAAACCCUAACCUAAAGGAGCCUAACCCUAACCCUUACCUAGCUCUCCAGAUCACUGUCCACCCCUUAACUAUCUGUCUGCAUAGAGCAUUGCUAUAACAUGUUUGCAUUAGUCUUAGAAGAAUGUGUCUUGAGAUGCAUAAGUAAAUAACUCUAACAAUUCUAUGUAAGCAUGAUUCCAUAGUGAAUCCUGAUGCAAAUAGGAGUUAAUAUGUUCUCAACAGAUACCAGCUUCAGACAAGAGACAUAACAGGGAUCUAAAAGUGAUCAUUUAUACAACAAUGUUUGUUGACAUACAUGGCUAUUUCAAAGACAAAAAUAGGCAGAAACACAAAUAGAAAAAAAAACAAUUAGCCAGUGGAGUUUGUCAUUACCAAUGUCAUCAUUGCUUUCUGAUCUUGGGUGACUCUUUUAAACCUGGCUGUGUUCCCUUCAUUCAGCAUGGCGGAGAUGGUCUACCUUCCCAGACCUUCAGCUCUGGCCCCAACAUUUAUUUUUUAAAAAAUCCCAGAGAAAUGUAUACCACAAAUAAUACGUGCAUCUAAAGAAUAUGCCAAUAUAAUUUACAUAUUUUUUCAUAUACUAGGUUGAUAUGCACUUUGUAUGUGUGUAAGAACGUGAUAUAAUUCUCACUGAGUUUUUACUGCUGUAGUAAUAUUUGGGAGCAUUUCAUGCAAUAGUUCCACAUGCCACAGAAUGUAGAUGAUACACAUGACUAAAUGAACUCAGAAAAGCACACCUUUUAUGUAGGAUAUAUGAACGCCUUGCUGACAAAUGCAAAUAAAUUCUUGCUUGUGAAUCU